AUAUAUUAAUUUAAUAAUUUGAUACCAUACAGUAUACAAAAUAAUAUAACACACUUUCAUAAGUUUAUAAUAAAACCAAAUAAAUACAAUUUUCAAUAAUAUAAUACAAAAAUAUGUGCCAAAUGUACUUGUAUACUGCCAUUUAGUUUUUUUCAAAUCUUUUGUAUUCAUUUAAUUUUGAUCUUGAAAAUCUGUUUCUACCAGAUAACUAAUUCUAUGAACAGACAACUUUUGUUUUGUAACUGACUUUUUGGGGGUGUGGUAGAGAUCCAUGAAAUAUGCAGGUAAAUUUGAUGUGUUCAGUCGACUUGUACUUUGAUGUGAAUGUUUUACAUGUGCUUUUCUGAGUAUAAAUGAUAUUCUUGUUUAUUGCAAGCUUAAAAAUGAACAAGUAUGAAUAUUUUAUUUAAUAAAUAAAUAAAAUGAACAGAUUGACAU
rnacentral:sRNA from 1 species